UUCAUUUGGAAGAAAAAUGAAUAUCUCUUUUCUGAUUAAAUAAUACCCACAAGAGAACAAAACGUCGUACAAACGAACGAGAAAAAAAUCGAAGGCAGCGCUAAUAUCAACAGCAUGGUACCACAAUGGGUAAGACUGGCCUCCGAAUAAACUCAUCUUUGGUGGGCAACGCAAUCAACCUAGCCAAAAUCUAACUUACUACCAAAGAAAAGAAACCCCGAAAAUUUGUAUGUGUGGACUUCCGAGCUUCCUUCAGUAAUAACAUAAUCUUUUCAAGGUUCCCCUAUAGAAUUUUCAUCAUUCUUCCGUUUAACAAUACCGCAGUGAUAUAUGGUAGCUUGUUGUCCACGCUCUUAACUCGAAUUGCAUGGCUUUGCCUUCGUCCUGUUUGUUGAAGUCAGUCAACUGGCCCCUACAUCCAAGUCAUCUGCCCUCUGGUUCUCCCUUAUUUCGCUAUGGUUCGGCACCCAAACGGAUCGUGUCAUCUUCGGAACAGACCUUAAGCUGAUUUGUGU